UUCGCCCUGCCCCUGCGUCAGCCGUCACCGCGGAGAUCCGAGGCAGUCGCAGCGAGCACACGGCUUGCGGUUGACUCACUGCUGUCCGGAAGGGGUCUGGCGUGAGCAUCAACCCUGCCGGCCUUCUUCUAAGACAACCAGGGCGCCAAAAGGCGCCUUUACCCCACCCUCCCCGUCGCCAUGCUUGAAGUGACACCACUCGGGACGGUAGUGGGUGAAGGCCCGGAUGUCUAGUCUGUUGCGGAGGGGGCGGGGAUGCCCGGAAGAAGAGAGACGAAGAGAGACGUGCUGGCCGGCAGACAGAGGUCCAUGGAAUCAACUGAGCAACCCACACCAAUUUUGGUUCAUCGUUUACAGUGUCUGUGCCCCUUUACCCAGAAUUCCACUUCUGAGAAUUAUCCCUCAGUUUUCAGACCGUCGAGUAGGACAGUAAAGUUUCAGCUGAGCACACUCCUGUUGCUCUUGCAACCUGAGAGGCGGAGGCAGUCUGUCACGUGAAGCUGGAUGUAAAGCUAGGUGUGGUGAGUCACAUCCUAAUCCUACCACUUAGGAGGCUGAGAUAGCAUGGAGAGUUUGGGGCCUACUCCAGCCACUUAGCCAGAACUGGAAUGGGGAGGGGCCAGGGAAGGAAGGAAAAAAGGAAGGAAGAGAUUAAAAGUGGGGAAAAAAAACCAAAACUAACCCCCCCCCCAGCAGUUUCUGCUCUGAAAAGGAGUAUGUGACCCAGAAUGUAAGUUCUUCUGCUCACUGCUGGAUCCUCAGUGUCAGACAUGUUCAAUCAAUACUGGAUAAGGGAGUGGAUGGAUGAUUGGUUCACUCACUUCUGCACCCUCGAUGUCAUGUCUCACAGCAGCCUUCCUAAACAGUCUUUAUGUGUCAGUACCAGAAACCUCCUCCACCUUCCCUACUUAGCUUCACUUUGUAUUCAUAGUGCCCAACCCCAUCAUCUCACAUUUGUUUGUCAAUUAUUUUCUCCCACAGGAUUGUAGCUCUGUGAGAAUGAGGAUUUGGAUUGCUCUGAAAAUUGCUCCAUACCUAAACCAGAACAAUGCCGGGCAUUUAGCAGGCGCUUAUAUAUUUGCUGAAUGAAUCAUUUUGUGUGAAUGAGACAGUUUCAUAAAUUUUUGGAAAUAAAAGAACAGCUGCUGAGA